rnacentral:rRNA from 1 species
UUCCGGUUGAUCCUGCCGGACCCGACUGCUAUCAGAGUGGGACUAAGCCAUGCGAGUCAACGUAGCAAUACGUGGCAUACGGCUCAGUAACACGUAGUCAACAUGCCCAGGGGACGAGGAUAACCUCGGGAAACUGAGGAUAAACCUCGAUAGGCCAUGAUUUCUGGAAUGAUUCUUGGCUCAAACCUAUAUGGCCCCUGGAUUGGACUGCGGCCGAUCAGGCUGUUGGUGAGGUAAUGGCCCACCAAACCUAUUACCGGUACGGGCUCUGAGAGGAGGAGCCCGGAGAUGGGCACUGAGACAAGGGCCCAGGCCCUAUGGGGCGCAGCAGGCGCGAAACCUCUGCAAUAGGCGAAAGCCUGACAGGGUUACUCUGAGUGACUUUCGCUAAGAAAGUCUUUUGGCACCUCUAAAAAGGGUGCAGAAUAAGGGGUGGGCAAGUCUGGUGUCAGCCGCCGCGGUAAUACCAGCACCCCGAGUGGUCGGGACGAUUAUUGGGCCUAAAGCAUCCGUAGCCGGUUCUGCAAGUCCCCCGUUAAAUCCAGCUGCUCAACAGAUGGGCCGCGGAGGAUACUACAGAGCUAGGAGGCAGGAGAGGCAAGCGGUACUCAGUGGGUAGGGGUAAAAUCCGUUGAUCCAUUGAAGACCACCAGUGGCGAAGGCGGCUUGCCAGAAUGCGCUCGACGGUGAGGGAUGAAGGCUGGGGGAGCAAACCGGAUUAGAUACCGGGUAGUCCCAG